UGUUCUUUCGAUUCGUCUCCAUCAAGCAAUCCUCUCUCUUUGUCUCUCUCUCUCUCUCUCUCUCUCUCUCUCUCUCUCUCUCUCUCUCUCUCUCUCUCUCUCGCUCUCUCUCUCUCUCUCAGCAUCGCAGAGGCUACGAACGUUCGUGAGAUUGAGAGCGACAUCGAAAGGGACGCAAGGAGAGAGAUUAGACUGGGCGAGUUGGUGUCCAUCAUCUGGAUUAUUCUCAACAGAACAAGAACUUCACAUUCAAAUGUCAACAGAGAUGGGAAUGAGGUCUAUUCUGUCAACGCUCUGAACUUCCACCCGAGGAUUUCGACGAAGCAAUUUUAUACCAAAGAACAAAUCUGAUCAGUGCGAAUCAAGGACGUCGGUGCCCAAAACUCACAGGAGUGGGAGCUUCCACAGUGUUCACAAGAUAUUGUUGGGAGUACUUUAACCUUCCAAUUGAACCUAUCCCACUUCAACUUGACUGCAAAGCAUCAGAGCUUCACUGUUUCCCACAUUUAGGAACCGAUCAGCGUCCACCGCAGUCUAAUUUGGAGGUUUUGGGUGGGAAUAACAAUCUGGGAGAUCAUAUGUAAGGUGCUGAAGCAGUCAAAAAGAGCAAUGUUUCUGGAGUUAAAAUAACCUUUGUGGAUCAUGGUACCUGUGUUGGCGAUGAAGCGGUUGAAGGUGGACUAGCUGAUGCAACUGCUCCAGGUCACAACUCUGUUAAUUGAAGGGAGAGGAGAGGAGUCACCAGUGAAGGAAGAUGGGUGCUCUAGAAAGAAGGCACCAAUUGAUUGACAUCGAAAGAGCAAGGGGAACCAAAGUUACAAGACACGAUGAUUUUUUUGUUGCAUUUCCAGACAUUAUCAUAUGAAGUCCGACUACUUUAAAAAAUUUAUAUCAUUGGUUUCCUUGGGUUUUUAAACUCCACCAUAUCAGACAUUUUCAGUUAUAAAAUAAGGCGUCCUGUUUG